GCCGAAUCCCCGCGUCCCAGUGGCGCGUGGGAAAUGUGGCGUAAGGAAGCCGUGGCUAACCGGGGACGCGGAGCCGACGUCCUUGUGAAGGAGGCUCUCAUCCCAUAGAGUGUGUUAGGCCCCCGCAGGCGCCCGUCGCCGGUGGCCUUUUGGCUUUCAAGAGUCGGGUUGUUUUGGAAUGCAGCCCAAAGACGGGUGGUAAACUCCAUCCAAGGCUAAAUACUAAGCACGAGACCGAUAGAUGACAAGUACCAUGAGGGAAAGUUGAAAAGAACUUUGAAGAGAGAGUUCAAUAGGACGUGAAGCUGCCGAGAAGUAAACGGAAAGGCCCCGCACACCGGGACCGGGAGAUUCAGCGCAGGGGGAGGUAGCGGCGCCCCGUUCCGUCUGCGGAUUCCUUUCGGGGAACCCUGGCGGUUCGGGUCGAUGCAGCCACCCGUCGCGCGCAUUUCUCCCGCGUCUCUGGGGUUGGCAGCCGACCGUUGAUCGGCCGAUUGGACGCGGCGAAGGCAGGUAGCUCAUCGGGUCUUCGGGCUCGGGGAGAACGUAUAGUCUCGCCGUCCGCAUCGGUCGCAAGGUCGAGGAAAGAUGACCACGUUCCGCGCCUGCUCAGGCCUUCGGGCUUUGGGGCUGGAGCCGCCGGACUCCCGCUCGUGCGGCGUACGGGGACUGUCCUCAGUGCC
rnacentral:rRNA from 1 species